GGGAAGAGAGGAAACAGCUCCUCUCCUGUUAAAGGAUGCCAAGUCUUCAGCUGAGAGCUGUUGAGGAGCACUGAUCCAUCCAUCCUUCCUACUCUGAGAGCCGUUGAGGAGCACUGAUCCAUCCAUCCGUCCUGCUCGUCCAGAUGAAUCUCACCACUGCGACUCCACAGCCUCGGCACAGACUUAUAGGUGGAGUAGACGAGGAGCUGCUCUGUGCCAUGAAGACGAAGGUGAAAGUGUUCUCCUGCCCCAGGCUGAGUGGAGUGCACUGCAUACAAAGGUAGACUGAUGUUCAUAUUCUACUAUGGACGGUGUGUGGUACAGACGGACAUCGACUGGAGCAGAACAGGCCCCGAGGACCAUUCAGCUCCUCGUGUGGUGUGUCAGAUGUGUCAUCAUGUGUGUGUCUGUGUGCAUCAAUACUGAAACCAUUAGUCUGUAUUUAUCCACCUACUGCAUCAUGUUAACUCAUUUCAACUGUGAAGAAGUUUUUUUUAAAUAUAUUUUUUAACCUUUAUUUAACUAGGCAAGUCAGUUAAGAACAAAUUAUUAUUUUCAAUGACGGCCUAGUAACAGUGGGUUAACUGCCUGUUCAGGGGCAGAACGACAGAUUUGUACCUUGUCAGCUCGGGAUUUGAACUUGCAACCUUCCAGUUACUAGUCCAACACCUGCCUCCCCAGUGUAGCCUAGGCUGUGUUUAGACAGGCAGCCAAUUCUUAUCUUUUAAUCAUUAUUUUGUCUUUUGACAAAUCAGAUCAGCUCUGAAAAAGAUCCUAUGUGAAAAAAUCUGAUGUUAUUGGUCAAAAGACCAAUUAGUGUAAAAAAUAUCAGAAUUUGUCUGCCUGUGUAAACACAGCCAAAGUAUUCACUUUUUCCUGGUAGAUCUGUGCUUACAUAAAAAAAAUAAAAAAAUUCAAUAGGGAUGUGUGCAUACAUUGUAAAGUUUUAAAAUAUUCAACUUUGAACUGUUUUCUUGUUGCUGCAUGUAGUUAGAAAUUCUAAUCAAGUAAAGUUGUUAAUUGUCUAAACUCUGAAAGUCAUUGGAUAAUAUGGUGCU
ensembl:lncRNA